UAAGACUCUGCAUUGAUUAUCUUCCUCUGAAACUGAUCUUGUUGCCUAAACUGCUUUGCAUUUCUCAGUGUUCACUUGAAAUCUUGGGUAAAUCUGUUCUGUUUGGCUGAACUGAGUCCUGUUUAUCUUAUGCAGGAAUUAUUUCAUCAACUCCUGAAAUGCAAAACCCGUGGCAAGAGAGAAAAGGCAGUCUUGUGAUUGCACCUCUGACCUAGAAGACAAGCUUUCUCCAAGUAUGAUUUCAUUCAGGUAGUGAGAGCAAGAGCUGGAUUAAGAAACAAAAAGAUUGGCCUUAGGCAAGCAGGUGUCUGUAUUUCUGAUGACCCAGCCUUUUGGUAAGAGGGAAACUGCUUUCACAGAGGAACACUGUGAUUCAGGACUUUUAACAAUGAAGUGGCACAGCAAGUAAAUACCUGAUUUGGAAAGUUAUUGUCUGGAGGCUGUAUUUGCAUAAAGUAAGAAGCUUCAACCUGCAUUGUCCAGUGUCCAGUGUCGAGGAAACAAAAAGCCUUCAGAGAAAAGGAAGGCAGUUUGCUCUUGUGAGUCAUCAGGAGCUGGGUGCUGAAGGAAGGAGACAUUCUUGAAGAAAAAGUUGCUGGCAUGAGUCAACUGCAGGGGAGAAGCAGUACUGUA